ACGGUACCUACAGAAUAAGUUCCGGCUAACUUCGUGCCAGCAGCCGCGGUAAUACGAAGGGAACUAGCGUUGUCCGGAUUUACUGGGCGUAAAGGGCGCGUAGGCGGUUACAUAAGUUAGAAGUGAAAGCCCCGGGCUUAACCUGGGAAUUGCUUUUAAUACUGUGUAACUAGAGUUCGGCAGAGGAUAGUAGAAUUUCCAGUGUAGAGGUGAAAUUCGUAGAUAUUGGAAGGAAUACCAGUGGCGAAGGCGGCUAUCUGGACCGAAACUGACGCUAAUGCGCGAAAGCGUGGGGAGCAAACAGGAUUAGAUACCCUGGUAGUCCACGCUGUAAACGAUGAGUGCUAGAUGUUGGAAUUUAUUUCAGUGUCGUAGCUAACGCAAUAAGCACUCCGCCUGGGGAGUACGAUCGCAAGAUUAAAACUCAAAGGAAUUGACGGGGGCCUGCACAAGCGGUGGAGCAUGUGGUUUAAUUCGACGCAACGCGAAGAACCUUACCAGCUCUUGACAUAGUGGUUAAGAUAUCUAGAGAUAGAUGUCGUCAGUUCGGC
rnacentral:rRNA from 1 species